UACGUAGGCAGCGGGCGUUGUUCGGAAUUACUGGGCGUAAAGAGUGUGUAGGCGGUGCUCUAAGUUCGGUGUGAAAUCUCCUGGCUCAACUGGGAGGGUGCGCCGGAAACUGGAGUGCUUGAGCGUGGGAGAGGAAAGCGGAAUUCCUGGUGUAGCGGUGAAAUGCGUAGAUAUCAGGAGGAACACCUGUGGUGUAGACGGCUUUCUGGACCAUAGCUGACGCUGAGACACGAAAGCGUGGGGAGCGAUCCGG
rnacentral:rRNA from 1 species